UACGUAGGGGCCUAGCGUUGUCCGGAUUUAUUGGGCGUAAAGAGCUCGUAGGCGGUUUGGUGAGUCGGGUGUGAAAUCUCCACGCUCAACGUGGAGGGGCCACCGAUACUGCCAUACUAGAGUCCGGUAGGGGAGUGUGGAAUUCCCGGUGUAGCGGUGAAAUGCGCAGAUAUCGGGAGGAACACCAGUAGCGAAGGCGCACUCUGGGCCGUACUGACGCUGAGGGAGCGAAAGCGUGGGGGAGCAAAACAGG
rnacentral:rRNA from 1 species